UGAAUACGAGACGCUAAGGCGUCGAAGUAGUGUAUGUCAUACUUCCAAGAAAAGCUUGCACUGUCAUAGAUAAAAAACGCCUGUACCAUAACCGACACAGGUGGGUAGGUAGAGUAUACUAAGGGGCGCGAGAUAACUCUCUCUAAGGAACUCGGCAAAAUAACUCCGUAACUUCGGGAGAAGGAGUGCCUUAUUUAUAAGGCUGCAAUAACAAGAUCCAAGCAACUGUUUAUCAAAAACACAGGUCUCCGCUAAGUCGUAAGACGAUGUAUGGGGGCUGACGCCUGCCCAGUGCCAGAAGGUUAAAGAAGUUGGUUAGCUUUUGCGAAGCUGAUAACUGAAGCCCUGGUGAACGGCGGCCGUAACUAUAACGGUCCUAAGGUAGCGAAAUUCCUUGUCGGGUAAGUUCCGACCCGCACGAAAGGCGUAAUGAUUUGGAUACUGUCUCGGAGAGGGGCUCGGUGAAAUAGACUUGUCUGUGAAGAUGCGGACUACCUGCACCAGGACAGAAAGACCCUAUGAAGCUUUACUGUAACUUGAAAUUGAAAUUGGACUUUAUUCGCGCAGCAUAGGUGGGAGGCGUUGAUUAUAAUCUCGUGGGAUUAUUGGAGCCAUCAGUGAGAUACCACUCUUGUAAUGUUAGAUUUCUAACUUUGAAUCAUUAUCUGGUCAAAGAACAGUUUCAGGCGGGCAGUUUGACUGGGGCGGUCGCCUCCUAAACGGUAACGGAGGCGUACAAAGGUUUCCUCUGAACGGUUAGAAAUCGUAUCUAGAGUGUAAAGGCAUAAGGAAGCUUGACUGUGAGACCUACAAGUCGAGCAGGGACGAAAGUCGGUCUUAGUGAUCUGACGGUACUGAGUGGAAAGGCCGUCACUCAACGGAUAAAAGUUACUCUAGGAUAACAGGCUGAUCUCCCCCAAGAGUUCACAUCGACGGGGAGGUUUGGCACCUCGAUGUCGGCUCAUCGCAUCCUGGGGCGGUAGUACGUCCCAAGGGUUGGGCUGUUCGCCCAUGAAAGCGGUACGCGAGCUGGGUUCAGAACGUCGUGAGACAGUUCGGUCCAUAUCCGGUGUAGGCGUUAGAAUAUUGAGAGGAGCCUUCUUUAGUACGAGAGGACCGAGAAGGACAUACCUCUGGUGUACCAGUUAUCGUGCCAACGGUAAACGCUGGGUAGCUAUGUAUGGAGUGGAUAACCGCUGAAAGCAUCUAAGUGGGAAGCCCACCUCAAGAUAAGUAUUCUC
rnacentral:rRNA from 1 species